GUUUCCGUAGUGUAGUGGUUAUCACGUUCCCCUCACAUGUGGGGGCCAGCUGCACAUAGAUGUAGAUCACUGAUUGCCGGUAAAACUGUGUCCGCUGUCUGACGCGGGUUUGAAUCCCGGUCAUGGCAGGAACU